UGAGGCUGCUCGUGCAAGAAAGAAUAAGAAAGUUGUGCAAUCCGAUAUUUAUUCUGCACCUGAAACCCAACAAAAUAUGGGAAAAGGUCAUAGAAAAAAAGGCCAACUAAACAGUUUAUGAAUGAUUUCAGCAGUGAUGACUGUAGUGUUGAAGUGUACGGGUCAACUCAACCAGAGCUUUCUUCUGUUCCGGUGGAUUGGCUGAAAAUGCUGUUGAGCAUUGCAAAGUUGUUAAUGGUUCUACACAUCAAGUUCAACAAAUGCCACAGUUGAGUCAAUCACUUUAUGUCAAUUCUCCAUUUGCUAGGCCGUCAAUGGCUGCCAACAGACGUGUUUUUAGUGAUAGUCCCAAGCAUUUUGUUCAACAAAAACCGCCUUCAAAUCGGCUGUUUGAUGUCAACUCUCCAUUGGCUGGCUCAUCAUCAACGUCUGCAAACAUAAGAGUUAUUGUUCAUGUUGAACAAGUACCUGUUGUACAAGAAAUUCAACUGUAUGUUCCUCUAAACUCUGCAAUGGCAGGGCCAUCAAUGGUUACCGAUAACUACGAUUCCUAUGAUCGAUGAGAUGGAUUCUCGCCUUCCUUUGGAUCAGCGGAAAGAUCAGUUAACCGCUAUUUGCCAGCGACGGCUAACAACUUGACAGAAGAAAAGAUGUAAAAGAACCUUUCCCCCUGGUGAGGGAAUGGUUGAAAGAGCAAGAAAACAUCUCUAACGUUAUUGUAAAACUGAUUGUAUUCGAGGGGAAGGGCGAGAUGGAAACCUCGUCCAACCAGCUCGUAUAUACACCACCAGUUCAUCCCUUAUGCUAGCUUAAACCCCUGAAAGAAAUAGAAGAAAUAUGAGCGAUGGUAUUCUAUUUUCUCGAUCAAGGUUAUGAUCGAUGAGAGUUCACAGGAAAAGAAGGGUAAAAAAGAUACAAUAUUUACUGCAGCUGUGCUUGAAGCUCGUAGGCCAGACAAGUUCAAACUUGUUUGAUCUCGUUCUCUUUUUGUUUUGGUGGAAUUUACGGUACAGCACAUCGCCAAUUUAUUGAUCAAAUUCAAUUUCUUUGACCCGAAAAGGAUUACUUGUUUGAUGUUCGUCUGUUAGUUUUACAUUAACUAAGUAAUUUCCAAUGUGCACGUACAUUUUCUUGAAUGGCUGCGAUUUUUAUUCCAGAUAAACAAUUUUCAUUUGAUGAACUCUCCUUUGCUUGUAUUGUUUUCUAUAGUUUAUACUUUC